GUCCCGCCGCCCCCGCCCGCCUACGGGAGGCAGCAGUGGGGAAUUUUGGACAAUGGGCGAAAGCCUGAUCCAGCAAUGCCGCGUGCAGGAUGAAGGCCUUCGGGUUGUAAACUGCUUUUGUACGGAACGAAAAAGCUCCUUCUAAUACAGGGGGCCCAUGACGGUACCGUAAGAAUAAGCACCGGCUAACUACGUGCCAGCAGCCGCGGUAAUACGUAGGGUGCGAGCGUUAAUCGGAAUUACUGGGCGUAAAGCGUGCGCAGGCGGUUAUGUAAGACAGAUGUGAAAUCCCCGGGCUCAACCUGGGAACUGCAUUUGUGACUGCAUGGCUAGAGUACGGUAGAGGGGGAUGGAAUUCCGCGUGUAGCAGUGAAAUGCGUAGAUAUGCGGAGGAACACCGAUGGCGAAGGCAAUCCCCUGGACCUGUACUGACGCUCAUGCACGAAAGCGU
rnacentral:rRNA from 1 species